UUUAUGGAGAGUUUGAUCCUGGCUCAGGAUGAACGCUGGCGGCGUGCCUAAUACAUGCAAGUCGAGCGAACUGACGAGGAGCUUGCUCCUUUGACGUUAGCGGCGGACGGGUGAGUAACACGUGGGUAACCUACCUAUAAGACUGGAAUAACUCCGGGAAACCGGGGCUAAUGCCGGAUAACAUGUUGAACCGCAUGGUUCAACAGUGAAAGACGGUCUUGCUGUCACUUAUAGAUGGACCCGCGCCGUAUUAGCUAGUUGGUAAGGUAACGGCUUACCAAGGCGACGAUACGUAGCCGACCUGAGAGGGUGAUCGGCCACACUGGAACUGAGACACGGUCCAGACUCCUACGGGAGGCAGCAGUAGGGAAUCUUCCGCAAUGGGCGAAAGCCUGACGGAGCAACGCCGCGUGAGUGAUGAAGGUCUUCGGAUCGUAAAGCUCUGUUGUUAGGGAAGAACAUAUGUGUAAGUAACUGUGCACAUCUUGACGGUACCUAACCAGAAAGCCACGGCUAACUACGUGCCAGCAGCCGCGGUAAUACGUAGGUGGCAAGCGUUAUCCGGAAUUAUUGGGCGUAAAGCGCGCGUAGGCGGUUUUUUAAGUCUGAUGUGAAAGCCCACGGCUCAACCGUGGAGGGUCAUUGGAAACUGGAAAACUUGAGUGCAGAAGAGGAAAGUGGAAUUCCAUGUGUAGCGGUGAAAUGCGCAGAGAUAUGGAGGAACACCAGUGGCGAAGGCGGCUUUCUGGUCUGUAACUGACGCUGAGGUGCGAAAGCGUGGGGAUCAAACAGGAUUAGAUACCCUGGUAGUCCACGCCGUAAACGAUGAGUGCUAAGUGUUAGGGGGUUUCCGCCCCUUAGUGCUGCAGCUAACGCAUUAAGCACUCC
rnacentral:rRNA from 1 species